UACGUAGGGGGCUAGCGUUGUCCGGAUUUAUUGGGCGUAAAGAGCGUGUAGGCGGCCAAGUAGGUCCGGUGUGAAAACUCGAGGCUUAACCUCGAGAUGUCAUCGGAAACCAUUUGGCUAGAGUCCGGAAGAGGAAAGUGGAAUUCCUGGUGUAGCGGUGAAAUGACGCAGAUAUCAGGAAGAACACCAAUGGCGAAAAGCAGCUUUCUGGGACGGU
rnacentral:rRNA from 1 species